UUCUUUGACUCCCUGCCUGCGAGGGCCUCUGUCCUGGCAAGGGGGCAGAGGGUCAUUAGGCUUUGCUCCCCUCUCCUCCUCCUCACUGGGUAAAGGAGUUGAGGUCCUAGAAAAACAGGGGAGAGAGGAGCAUAUUGUUUUUGGCCUACUCUUUCCUUCUUAGGCCUGCUUUAUGAAGCCUUGUUUUUAUAUUCUGGCCCAAUGGCCAGGAAAAUUCUUUUUCUCCCUGAAGAAAUCGUGAAAGACAGCAGGGAGCUCGGUUCUGUUCCAAAAGCUGGUGGGGUGUAUGAAAGGCGUCGUCAAGAAAGAGGACAUUCUUGGCAUUUGGAGUGGGAAGCGAGCAAGGUGCGGUCGGGGCUGGCGCCAGUCACUCGGCUUUCUACCACCAGGUGGCGUCAGAGGCCCAUCGUCUUUGCUCACCCUUAGGACUCUGGGACUGUGCGGACAGAAGUCUGAGCUAUGGGUCCUGGUUCCCUUCUCAGCACCUCGAACCUCGAAUCUAGGUCCAGAGGAAAAUCCACAUUUACACACUCCCUCCACCCUGUCCCCAGGAAAUGUCAAGGUCUUUGAGGUGAGUCUGGGAGCUAAAUCACCAAGUGGAAAAGAAAUAAAGGCGGUUUUACAUUAUUUGUAAUGCAUUGGCAGAAGUUUUGCUUUUUUUCUUCCCAGUUUCUUGAGGAAAGGGUUUAAACUCGUCCUUGAACGGAAAUCUGAGAAGGAAACCAUAAGGUAUUUUAAACAAGAAUAAAAGAAAGGCAUCUGCUUAGGUGUCUGGAAGUGGGGCGGUGGGUGAGGCAAGAGAGAAGCACAUCACGGUGUGAAUAUAGCCAAGUAUUUCAUUUAUUAACAAAAUAUGUCUUACCAAGGGAGAGCUCUAUUUAUCCCCAACAGGCCCCGCAGCCCCCACGCUGCUGUAUAAGACCAGGAAGAGGGACGGUGUGGGGAGAAGACCCAGGGCCCGAGUCUUCAAUCCGUCACUGAGGGAGCCCAUGGAAGCCACGGCCAACUUUGGGGGCUCUUGGGUCAGGCCUGGGAGGUGGCGAUGGGGCUGCUGUGAUCUGUAUGCUCCCUGACUCCCCAGCUUUCCCCCAAUGAGCUACAAUGUUGUACUGCCCGCUGAUACUGCCACAGGUCUGCUUUGGAGGGAUCUAGCAAGGAUCACUGACGCCACCCCCCACCGCCAGAGGGACCACUGCCCCAAUAAAGGAGAGAAAAACAAUGACUAUAAAAGCACUUUGCAAAAUAUAAAGAGCAAAGUUUCACGCCAGCAGGGCUUUCUAGGACUUAUAAUUGAAUUAAGAUGAGCCCUACAGGACCCCCACCAGCAGAUCGCCGGCUGUUUAGGGCCCAGAAGGGACUGGAAGUAGAAAGGCUCUGUCUGAGGCCACUCGGGCCCCUCUCUCAGGGCUCUCGGUGCUCAGAGCAAUUAGGUAGGGGAGCGAGGCUCUAAUUUUGGGGGCCAGGGCACAGACCAAAGACGCUAGGAAGAGAGGGUCACAGAGGAGGUAUCAUGGAGCAGAGUUCCAGGUCAACAGAGAGCAAGACCUCCUGCUACCAAGGCCCCUCAUUGCACCCCCCACAAAUGAGAUACAAAAAAAAAA